UACGUAGGGGGCAAGCGUUGUCCGGAUUUAUUGGGCGUAAAGAGCGUGUAGGCGGCCAGACAGGUCCGUUGUGAAAACUCGAGGCUCAACCUCGAGAUGUCGAUGGAAACCGUCUGGCUAGAGUCCGGAAGAGGAGUGUGGAAUUCCUGGUGUAGCGGUGAAAUGCGCAGAUAUCAGGAGGAACACCGAUGGCGAAGGCAGGUUCUGCCUAGGCGA
rnacentral:rRNA from 1 species